UGCAGUCGAGCGGCAGCGACUUAACUGAACCUUCGGGGAACGUUAAGGGCGGCGAGCGGCGGACGGGUGAGUAAUGCCUGGGAAUAUGCCCUGAUGUGGGGGAUAACUAUUGGAAACGAUAGCUAAUACCGCAUAAUCUCUUCGGAGCAAAGAGGGGGACCUUCGGGCCUCUCGCGUCAGGAUUAGCCCAGGUGGGAUUAGCUUGUUGGUGAGGUAAUGGCUCACCAAGGCAACGAUCCCUAGCUGGUCUGAGAGGAUGAUCAGCCACACUGGAACUGAGACACGGUCCAGACUCCUACGGGAGGCAGCAGUGGGGAAUAUUGCACAAUGGGGGAAACCCUGAUGCAGCCAUGCCGCGUGUGUGAAGAAGGCCUUCGGGUUGUAAAGCACUUUCAGUAGGGAGGAAGGUAGUGUAGUUAACACCUGCAUUAUUUGACGUUACCUACAGAAGAAGCACCGGCUAACUCCGUGCCAGCAGCCGCGGUAAUACGGAGGGUGCGAGCGUUAAUCGGAAUUACUGGGCGUAAAGCGCAUGCAGGCGGCCUGUUAAGUCAGAUGUGAAAGCCCGGGGCUUAACCUCGGAAUUGCAUUUGAAACUGGCAGGCUAGAGUCUUGUAGAGGGGGGUAGAAUUUCAGGUGUAGCGGUGAAAUGCGUAGAGAUCUGAAGGAAUACCAGUGGCGAAGGCGGCCCCCUGGACAAAGACUGACGCUCAGAUGCGAAAGCGUGGGGAGCAAACAGGAUUAGAU
rnacentral:rRNA from 1 species